UGGGGAAUUUUGGACAAUGGGCGAAAGCCUGAUCCAGCAAUGCCGCGUGUGUGAAGAAGGCCUUCGGGUUGUAAAGCACUUUUGUCCGGAAAGAAAUCCUUGGCUCUAAUACAGUCGGGGGAUGACGGUACCGGAAGAAUAAGCACCGGCUAACUACGUGCCAGCAGCCGCGGUAAUACGUAGGGUGCAAGCGUUAAUCGGAAUUACUGGGCGUAAAGCGUGCGCAGGCGGUUUGCUAAGACCGAUGUGAAAUCCCCGGGCUCAACCUGGGAACUGCAUUGGUGACUGGCAGGCUAGAGUAUGGCAGAGGGGGGUAGAAUUCCACGUGUAGCAGUGAAAUGCGUAGAGAUGUGGAGGAAUACCGAUGGCGAAGGCAGCCCCCUGGGCCAAUACUGACGCUCAUGCACGAAAAGCGUGGGGAGCAAAACAGGAUUAGAUACCCUGGUAGUCCACGCCCUAAAACGAUGUCAACUAGUUGUUGGGGAUUCAUUUCCUUAGUAACGUAGCUAACGCGUGAAGUUGACCGCCUGGGGAGUACGGUCGCAAGAUUAAAACUUAAAUGAAUUGACGGGGUCAUAGCUGUUU
rnacentral:rRNA from 1 species